rnacentral:rRNA from 1 species
UAUGGUGACUAUUGCGCUGGUGAUCACCUCUUCCCAUCUCGAACAGAGAAGUUAAGCCCAGUUGCGCUGAUGGUACUAGAGUAAAAUCUGGAAGAGUAAGUAGUCGCCAAUC